GGCGUAAGAGCUCGUAGGCGGCUUGUCACGUCGGUUGUGAAAGCCCGGGGCUUAACCCCGGGUCUGCAGUCGAUACGGGCAGGCUAGAGUUCGGUAGGGGAGAUCGGAAUUCCUGGUGUAGCGGUGAAAUGCGCAGAUAUCAGGAGGAACACCGGUGGCGAAGGCGGAUCUCUGGGCCGAUACUGACGCUGAGGAGCGAAAGCGUGGGGAGCGAACAGGAUUAGAUACCCUGGUAGUCCACGCCGUAAACGGUGGGCACUAGGUGUGGGCAACAUUCCACGUUGUCCGUGC
rnacentral:rRNA from 1 species